CAAGGCCCGCCUAUUCAG
rnacentral:tRNA from 2 species